rnacentral:tRNA from 1 species
CGGGGCAUAGCGCAGUUGGUAGCGCGUCUGCUUUGGGAGCAGAAGGUCGCGAGUUCGAAUCUCGCUGCCCCGACCA